AUUGUAUCAAAUUAUCGCUGUGAUGCAAGUAACAUUACGGUCCGAUUGGGGGUGUUUAUCUUUUCUUGUAGCAGGAACAGUCUUGAAGGUGCAACUUCUUCUUGUGCUUGUAGGCUGUUGGUCUGAUACGUGGUCACAUUUUUUUCUAUAAAUGUUACUUCUGUGACAUGUUUCAACUUGAUAAGGUCAUCACCAGCUCUGGUCUUAUAAUAGUCUGCAGGUACCACCUUCACGAGUGCACUGAACUUGAACUUGUGAGUUACACAAGCCAAGGCAUGGCUGUUUUAUACAGCAAAUGGCUUCGGAGGACGGGGUGAAGCGCGGAGAGGGGAAGUGAUGUACGAGAGGACACAGCCACAUCACCCUGCAGAUAAUGAGAAGAUGGACACGGCCUCCGUGUUUCGGUGGUUCAUAUGAAGUUCGUGAGAAAAUUUCCACGUCAGGUUACUGACUGCAUUACCAUGUAGGUGGGCAAGGUCAUGGAAACAAAAUAAAACAUUUAAAUUACACUCGAAUGUGCUUAUAAAAAAUCUGAAUACAGAAAUUCUCGAUCCGAUCAUAGUUUUGUAUACUGAAUUUUAAAUAAAAGAACACAUUUUUUACUUGUGCACUUAAGGUGAUAAUUUUCUUUUGCAGGGAUGUUGGUGUAUUUGAAGGCAAACUCGUCUUUCUUAGUCAUGUUUUAUAAUGCUUCUUUCUUCAUAUUAAAUAUUUUUCCUACGUAAUAUUAAUGUAUAUAUACUCAUUUUCUUUCUAGCUGUAUAAGGUUGGCUAGAUUGAAAGUGUGGAAUUUUUUACUAUAGACUGGUUUCUCUUUCUGUAUACAUGCUUGCUCUUGUCUAUCUUUCCUCGUGCUUAUUUCACAACUGGUCUUUGGUUGCUUUUUAAGCACUUAAAUAAAUAAAUAAUUGGGCUGAAUUGAUAUUAUUAGGCACUGAUAUAUUUAAAAUUUAAAUUGUUUC